GAUGAACGCUGGCGGCGUGCCUAAUACAUGCAAGUCGAGCGAACGGACGAGAAGCUUGCUUCUCUGAUGUUAGCGGCGGACGGGUGAGUAACACGUGGAUAACCUACCUAUAAGACUGGGAUAACUUCGGGAAACCGGAGCUAAUACCGGAUAAUAUUUUGAACCGCAUGGUUCAAAAGUGAAAGACGGUCUUGCUGUCACUUAUAGAUGGAUCCGCGCUGCAUUAGCUAGUUGGUAAGGUAACGGCUUACCAAGGCAACGAUGCAUAGCCGACCUGAGAGGGUGAUAGGCCACACUGGAACUGAGACACGGUCCCGACUCCUACGGGAGGCAGCAGUAGGGAAUCUUCCGCAAUGGGCGAAAGCCUGACGGAGCAACGCCGCGUGAGUGAUGAAGGUCUUCGGAUCGUAAAACUCUGUUAGUAGGGAAGAACAUAUGUGUAAGUAACUGUGCACAUCUUGACGGUACCUAAUCAGAAAGCCACGGCUAACUACGUG
rnacentral:rRNA from 1 species